GAGUUUGAUCCUGGCUCAGGAUGAACGCUGGCGGCGUGCCUAACACAUGCAAGUCGAACGGACUUAUAACGAAACCUAGUGAAUUAUAAGUUAGUGGCGGACGGGUGAGUAACGCGUGGAAAACCUGCCGUAUACUGGGGGAUAACACUUAGAAAUAGGUGCUAAUACCGCAUAAGCGCACAGCUUCGCAUGAAGCAGUGUGAAAAACUCCGGUGGUAUACGAUGGUUCCGCGUCUGAUUAGCUAGUUGGUGAGGUAAAAGCCCACCAAGGCAACGAUCAGUAGCCGGCCUGAGAGGGUGAACGGCCACAUUGGGACUGGGACACGGCCCAGACUCCUACGGGAGGCAGCAGUGGGGGAUAUUGCACAAUGGGGGAAACCCUGAUGCAGCGACGCCGCGUGAGUGAAGAAGUAUUUCGGUACGUAAAGCUCUAUCAGCAGGGAAGAAUAAUGACGGUACCUGACUAAGAAGCCCCGGCUAACUACGUGCCAGCAGCCGCGGUAAUACGCAGGGAGCAAGCGUUAUCCGGAUUUAUUGGGUGUAAAGGGUGCGUAGACGGGAAAUUAAGUUAGUUGUGAAAUCCCUCGGCUCAACUGAGGAACUGCAACUAAAACUGAUUUUCUUGAGUGCANGAGAGGUAAGUGGAAUUCCUAGUGUAGCGGUGAAAUGCGUAAAUAUUAAGG
rnacentral:rRNA from 1 species